rnacentral:rRNA from 1 species
GAGUUUGAUCCUGGCUCAGGAUGAACGCUAGCGGCAGGCUUAACACAUGCAAGUCGAGGGGGUAUAGGUUUUUCGGACCUAGAGACCGGCGCACGGGUGCGUAACGCGUAUGCAAUCUACCUUUUACAGAGGGAUAGCCCAGAGAAAUUUGGAUUAAUACCUCAUAGUAUUAUGAUAAGGCAUCUUAUUAUAAUUAAAGUUCCAACGGUAAAGAUGAGCAUGCGUCCCAUUAGCUAGAUGGUAAGGUAACGGCUUACCAUGGCGACGAUGGGUAGGGGUCCUGAGAGGGAGAUCCCCCACACUGGUACUGAGACACGGACCAGACUCCUACGGGAGGCAGCAGUGAGGAAUAUUGGUCAAAUGGGCGCAAGCCUGAACCAGCCAUGCCGCGUGCAGGAUGACGGUCCUAUGGAUUGUAAACUGCUUUUUGUACAGGAAGAAACACUCCCUCGUGAGGGAACUUGACGGUUACUGUAAGAAUAAGGAUCGGCUAACUCCGUGCCAGCAGCCGCCGUAAAG